GACGAACGCUGGCGGCGUGCCUAAUACAUGCAAGUAGAACGCUGAAGGAGGAGCUUGCUUCUCUGGAUGAGUUGCGAACGGGUGAGUAACGCGUAGGUAACCUGCCUGGUAGCGGGGGAUAACUAUUGGAAACGAUAGCUAAUACCGCAUAAUAGUAGAUGUUGCAUGACAUUUACUUAAAAGGUGCAAUUGCAUCACUACCAGAUGGACCUGCGUUGUAUUAGCUAGUUGGUGGGGUAACGGCUCACCAAGGCGACGAUACAUAGCCGACCUGAGAGGGUGAUCGGCCACACUGGGACUGAGACACGGCCCGGACUCCUACGGGAGGCAGCAGUAGGGAAUCUUCGGCAAUGGACGGAAGUCUGACCGAGCAACGCCGCGUGAGUGAAGAAGGUUUUCGGAUCGUAAAGCUCUGUUGUAAGAGAAGAACGAGUGUGAGAGUGGAAAGUUCACACUGUGACG
rnacentral:rRNA from 1 species